GAUGAAGAACGUAGCGAAAUGCGAUACGUAAUGUGAAUUGCAGAAUUCAGUGAAUCAUCGAAUCUUUGAACGCAUAUUGCGCUCUCUGGUAUUCCGGAGAGCAUGCUUGUUUGAGUAUCAGUAAACACCUCAACUUCCAUAUCUUUUUUGAAAUGGGAGUUGGACUUGAGUGAUCCCAACGCUUUUCCUCACCGAAAAGUGGCGGGUUACUUGAAAUGCGGGUGCAGCUGGACUUUUCUCUGAGCUAUAAGCAUAUCUAUUUAGUCUGCCUAAAAAACAGAUUAUUACCUUUGCUGCAGCUAACAUAAAGGAGAUUAGUUCUUGUGCUGACUGAUGCAGGAUUCACAAAGACAGGCUUCGGCCGACUUUGUAAACUCGAUCUCAAAUCAAGUAAGACUACCCGCUGAACUUAAGCAUAUCAAUAAGCGGAGGA
rnacentral:misc_RNA from 1 species